rnacentral:rRNA from 1 species
GUGGGGAAUAUUGCGCAAUGGGGGAAACCCUGACGCAGCAACGCCGCGUGAGUGAUGAAGGCUUUCGAGUCGUAAAACUCUGUCUUUGGGGACGAAUAAUGACGGUACCCAAGGAGGAAGCCCCGGCUAACUACGUGCCAGCAGCCGCGGUAAUACGUAGGGGGCAAGCGUUGUCCGGAAUCACUGGGCGUAAAGGGCGCGUAGGCGGUUUGUUAAGUCAGGUGUGAAAGUUUUCAGCUUAACUGGAAAAGUGCACUUGAAACUAACUUACUUGAGUACUGGAGAGGUAAGCGGAAUUCCUAGUGUAGCGGUGAAAUGCGUAGAUAUUAGGAAGAACACCGGUGGCGAAGGCGGCUUACUGGACAGAGACUGACGCUGAGGCGCGAAAGCGUGGGGAGCGAACAGGAUUAGAAACCCUGGUAGUCC